rnacentral:rRNA from 1 species
UACGUAGGGACCGAGCGUUGUCCGGAUUCAUUGGGCGUAAAGAGCUCGUAGGCGGCUGCUCAAGUCGAAUGUGAAAACUCGAGGCUCAACCUCGAGCCUGCAUUCGAUACUGGGCGGCUAGAGUCCGGAAGAGGCGAGUGGAAUUCCUGGUGUAGCGGUGGAAUGCGCAGAUAUCAGGAGGAACACCGAUGGCGAAGGCAGCUUGCUGGGACGGUACUGACGCUGAGACGCGAAAGCGUGGGGAGCAAACAGG